CUUUAUUGGAGAGUUUGAUCCUGGCUCAGGACGAACGCUGGCGGCAUGCCUAAUACAUGCAAGUCGAGCGGACUUGAAGAGAAGCUUGCUUCUCUGAUGGUUAGCGGCGGACGGGUGAGUAACACGUAGGCAACCUGCCCUCAAGCUUGGGACAACUACCGGAAACGGUAGCUAAUACCGAAUAGUUGUUUUCUUCUCCUGAAGGAAACUGGAAAGACGGAGCAAUCUGUCACUUGGGGAUGGGCCUGCGGCGCAUUAGCUAGUUGGUGGGGUAACGGCUCACCAAGGCGACGAUGCGUAG
rnacentral:rRNA from 1 species